rnacentral:rRNA from 1 species
GGACUUCGGUCUGGUGGCGAGUGGCGAACGGGUGAGUAAUAUAUCGGAACGUACCCUGGAGUGGGGGAUAACGCAGCGAAAGUUGCGCUAAUACCGCAUACGAUCUACGGAUGAAAGUGGGGGCUCGCAAGACCUCAUGCUCGUGGAGCGGCCGAUAUCUGAUUAGCUAGUUGGUAGGGUAAAAGCCUACCAAGGCUUCGAUCAGUAGCUGGUCUGAGAGGACGACCAGCCACACUGGGACUGAGACACGGCCCAGACUCCUACGGGAGGCAGCAGUGGGGAAUUUUGGACAAUGGGGGCAACCCUGAUCCAGCAAUGCCGCGUGAGUGAAGAAGGCCUUCGGGUUGUAAAGCUCUUUCAGCCGGGAAGAAAACGCAUGGGUUAAUACCCUGUGUGGAUGACGGUACCGGAAUAAGAAGCACCGGCUAACUACGUGCCAGCAGCCGCGGUAAUACGUAGGGUGCGAGCGUUAAUCGGAAUUACUGGGCGUAAAGCGUGCGCAGGCGGUUUGUUAAGAUAGGCGUGAAAUCCCCGGGCUCAACCUGGGAACUGCGUUUAUGACUGGCAGGCU